AGGCGCACGCGCGACUUCCGCCGUUCCGACUCCCGGGGUACGGAGUGCGGAGCGUGCGGACCCGACGUACUGGAGAUCGAACUCAGGACCUUGCGCUUGCCUGCCAGGCCCAGUGCCCCUGAGCUACAUCCUAGACCUUGCUUGUUUAUUUUUAAAAGGGAAAUCCUAAACAGGGAACACAGACCUUCCAUCAGGCCACUCCAGAGGCACGGGCGGAGGAAUGGCAACAGCUUGUAAGAGGGGCCACUCUUGGUAAGCGGGCUCCUUCCCAGAAUGUGCUUUCCUGCAACCCAGAGGGCCUGUGCAGAACUGACCUUCAGGGCCCCAAACUGGAGACAUGCUGAUGUGCCUUCUGCUUUGUUGACUUGAUUAGGCUGGGAUCUGAGGUGCUAAUCAGUAUGUUUUCUCCUGUUCCUAAGUAGCUCUUAUGAUAUUGGACUUUUUUUUUUUGGUACUGGGGAUUGAACUCGGGUCCUUGAGCUUUUGAGGCAGGCGGCAGAACCACUGGGCUAAAUCCUCGGCCCUGUUUCUCUUUUUAUUAGUUUGCUUUGAUCACUGUCACUGUUUCAUGAAACCAUCACUGCCCCACCGGCUUGCAUACACUUGCUAAAUAAAUAUGCGUCAACUGAGAGGUCUUUGUCUUUGCCCAAUAUGAGGCACUAACCUCCUUGUGCUCUUGUACCCCCAAAGUUGUCUUUCGCUUCAUCUCUUGUC
ensembl:lncRNA